rnacentral:rRNA from 1 species
AGAGUUUGAUUCUGGCUCAGAACGAACGCUGGCGGCAGGCCUAACACAUGCAAGUCGAACGCCGUAGCAAUACGGAGUGGCAGACGGGUGAGUAACGCGUGGGAACCUUCCCAGUGGUACGGAAUAGCUCAGGGAAACCUGGGGUAAUACCGUAUACGCCCCUCGGGGGAAAGAUUUAUCGCCAUUGGAUGGGCCCGCGUAGGAUUAGCUAGUUGGUGGGGUAAUGGCCUACCAAGGCGACGAUCCUUAGCUGGUCUGAGAGGAUGAUCAGCCACACUGGGACUGAGACACGGCCCAGACUCCUACGGGAGGCAGCAGUGGGGAAUAUUGGACAAUGGGCGAAAGCCUGAUCCAGCCAUGCCGCGUGAGUGACGAAGGCCUUAGGGUUGUAAAGCUCUUUUGGCGGGGAAGAUAAUGACGGUACCCGCAGAAUAAGCUCCGGCUAACUUCGUGCCAGCAGCCGCGGUAA